AUGCUGCCGGCUGGUGUCAAGUUCGAUCCCACGGAUCAGGAGCUGAUCGAGCACCUUGAGGCCAAAGUGAGUGCUGACAGCGCGAGAUUUCAGUCUCUCAUCGAUUUGUUCAUACCAACCAUCGACAGCGAGCACGGCAUAUGUUACACCCAACCUGAGAAACUUCCAGGUACACUAAAACCUGUAUUCCACAAUACGGGAGGUAUCACACUGAGUAGCCUAAGGAAGCAUUUCUUCCAGCGCAAUUCCAGGGCGUUCAAAAGGGGUGCAUGGACGCGUCGCAAGAUACAGUCGGAGUGCGGCAUGCACGUGAUGUGGCACAAGACCAGCAAUACCUUGCCGGUGAUGGUCAACGGCCGGCAGACGGGCAACAAAAAAGGUUCUGGUGCUGCACACCAACAAGAACUUCGACCAGCAGAGGACCAACUGGGUGAUGCACCAGUACUACCUCGGGGACCUGGAGCAAGAGAAGGAGCGGGAGCUGGUCCUCUGCAAGAUUUUCUACCAGACGAACACUAG
rnacentral:rRNA from 1 species